ACAGCAGAUGCUUUUCAAAUCCAUUAAACUCUAUGCACCAAAAUCUGCUUCACAACGUUGUGCCAAUGGCCUGGAACUGAAAGUAAAUAAUUUUACUUCUGCCUUCUCUGACUGUUCACGCAGAUGGUAAGCCUGCAUUUUAUCACAGUCAGAAGGAUAAGUUCUUGAAUGCCUGGGACAUUUCAAGGGCGUGCCUAUGAUACUGUCCCAUAUUUCUUCUCCCUCUGCUGCAUGCUAUAUCUGGGAAGCUGGAGACUAAAUAUAGUAUUCAGUAUGCCUUGAACUGGAAUGGAUGGAUAGACUGACGAUGGCUUUUAAAAUUAUGUAUCUACCAUGGCAUGAAUAUUCAUGUUUGUCUCAAAGAAAAUGUGUCCUUGGUUAUUCCAAGUUUUGUUAAUCUUGGGUCACUGUGUUGGAAGGAAAGGAAUGCUUGUAGUAUCAGAAAUAAAGCAAGGGGA